AGUGAACGCUGGCGGUAUGCCUAACACAUGCAAGUCGAACGGCAGCACAGUAAGAGCUUGCUCUUACGGGUGGCGAGUGGCGGACGGGUGAGGAAUACAUCGGAAUCUACUUUUUCGUGGGGGAUAACGUAGGGAAACUUACGCUAAUACCGCAUACGACCUACGGGUGAAAGCAGGGGAUCUUCGGACCUUGCGCGAUUGAAUGAGCCGAUGUCGGAUUAGCUAGUUGGCGGGGUAAAGGCCCACCAAGGCGACGAUCCGUAGCUGGUCUGAGAGGAUGAUCAGCCACAUUGGAACUGAGACACGGUCCAGCCUCCUACGGGAGGCAGAAGUGGGGAAUAUUGGACAAUGGGCGAAAGCCUGAUCCAGCCAUACCGCGUGGGUGAAGAAGGCCUUCGGGUUGUAAAGCCCUUUUGUUGGGAAAGAAAAGCAGCAGGUUAAUACCCCGCUGUUCUGACGGUACCCAAAGAAUAAGCACCGGCUAACUUCGUG
rnacentral:rRNA from 1 species